UACGGAGGGUGCAAGCGUUAUCCGGAUUUACUGGGUUUAAAGGGUGUGUAGGCGGGUCUUUUAGUCAGUGGUGAAAUCUCCGAGCUCAACUUGGAAACUGCCAUUGAUACUAUUGAUCUUGAAUUCUGUUGAGGUGGGCGGAAUAAGUCAUGUAGCGGUGAAAUGCAUAGAUAUGACUUAGAACACCAAUUGCGAAGGCAGCUCACUAAACAGAUAUUGACGCUGAGGCACGAAAGCGUGGGGAUCAAACAGG
rnacentral:rRNA from 1 species